UAGGGAAUCUUGCGCAAUGGGCGAAAGCCUGACGCAGCCAUGCCGCGUGAAUGAUGAAGGUCUUAGGAUUGUAAAAUUCUUUCACCGGGGAAGAUAAUGACGGUACCCGGAGAAGAAGCCCCGGCUAACUUCGUGCCAGCAGCCGCGGUAAUACGAAGGGGGCUAGCGUUGCUCGGAAUUACUGGGCGUAAAGGGCGCGUAGGCGGAUAUCUAAGUUGGGGGUGAAAGCCCGGGGCUCAACCUCGGAAUAGCCUUCAAUACUGGAUAUCUUGAGUUCGGGAGAGGUGAGUGGAAUGCCGAGUGUAGAGGUGAAAUUCGUAGAUAUUCGGCGGAACACCAGUGGCGAAGGCGACUCACUGGCCCGAUACUGACGCUGAGGCGCGAAAGCGUGGGGAGCAAACAGGAUUAGAUACCCUGGUAGUCCACGCCGUAAACGAUGAGUGCUAGUUGUCGGCAUGCAUGCAUGUCGGUGACGCAGCUAACGCAUUAAGCACUCCGCCUGGGGAGUACGGUCGCAAGAUUAAAACUCAAAUGAAUUGACGGGGGUCAUAGCUGUUUCCUG
rnacentral:rRNA from 1 species